rnacentral:rRNA from 1 species
AUACAGGGUGACAGCCCCGUACACAAAAGCGUAUGUGCUGUGAGCUCGAUGAGUAGGGCGGGACACGUGGUAUCCUGUCUGAAUAUGGGGGGACCAUCCUCCAAGGCUAAAUACUCCUGACUGACCGAUAGUGAACCAGUACCGUGAGGGAAAGGCGAAAAGAACCCCGGCGAGGGGAGUGAAAAAGAACCUGAAACCGUGUACGUACAAGCAGUGGGAGCCCCACCACUAAGCCAGUGGUGAACUCCACAUACGCAUCCUUUGCUGAGGAUACGGUUAACGGAGCGAAAGCGACGUUCAACCGCAAAAGAAGCAGAGGGGGCUUAGUGGUGGGGUGACUGCGUACCUUUUGUAUAAUGGGUCAGCGACUUAUAUUCUGUAGCAAGGUUAACCGAAUAGGGGAGCCGGAGGGAAACCGAGUCUUAACCGGGCGUUAAGUUGCAGGGUAUAGACCCGAAACCCGGUGAUCUAGCCAUGGGCAGGUUGAAGGUUGGGUAACACUAACUGGAGGACCGAACCGACUAAUGUUGAAAAAUUAGCGGAUGACCUGUGGCUGGGGGUGAAAGGCCAAUCAAACCGGGAGAUAGCUGGUUCUCCCCGAAAGCUAUUUAGGUAGCGCCUCGUGAAUUCAUCUCCGGGGGUAGAGCACUGUUUCGGCUAGGGGGCCAUCCCGGCUUACCAACCCGAUGCAAACUGCGAAUACCGGAGAAUGUUAUCACGGGAGACACACGGCGGGUGCUAACGUCCGUCGUGAAGAGGGAAACAACCCAGACCGCCAGCUAAGGUCCCAAAGUCAUGGUUAAGUGGGAAACGAUGUGGGAAGGCCCAGACAGCCAGGAUGUUGGCUUAGAAGCAGCCAUCAUUUAAAGAAAGCGUAAUAGCUCACUGGUCGAGUCGGCCUGCGCGGAAGAUGUAACGGGGCUAAACCAUGCACCGAAGCUGCGGCAGCGACGCUUAUGCGUUGUUGGGUAGGGGAGCGUUCUGUAAGCCUG